rnacentral:rRNA from 1 species
CAGCAGCCGCGGUAAUACCAGCACCUCAAGUGGUCAGGAUGAUUAUUGGGCCUAAAGCAUCCGUAGCCGGCUCUAUAAGUUUUCGGUUAAAUCUGUAUGCUCAACAUACAGGCUGCCGGGAAUACUGCAGAGCUAGGGAGUGGGAGAGGUAAACGGUACUCGGUAGGAAGGGGUAAAAUCCUUUGAUCUAUUGAUGACCACCUGUGGCGAAGGCGGUCUACCAGAACACGUCCGACGGUGAGGGAUGAAAGCUGGGGGAGCAAACCGGAUUAGAUACCCGGGUAGUCCCAGCUGUAAACUAUGCAAACUCAGUGAUGCAUUGGCUUGUGGCCAAUGCAGUGCUGCAGGGAAGCCGUUAAGUUUGCCGCCUGGGAAGUACGUACGCAAGUAUGAAACUUAAAGGAAUUGGCGGGGGAGCACCACAAGGGGUGAAGCCUGCGGUUCAAUUGGAGUCAACGCCAGAAAUCUUACCCGGAGAGACAGCAGAAUGAAGGUCAAGUUGAAGACUUUACCAGACAAGCUGAGAGGUGGUGCAUGGCCGUCGCCAGCUCGUGCCGUGAGAUGUCCUGUUAAGUCAGGUAACGAGCGAGAUCCCUGCCUCUAGUUGCCACCAUUAUUCUCAGGAAUAGUGGGGCGAAUUAGCGGGACCGCCGCAGUUAAUGCGGAGGAAGGAAGGGGCCACGGCAGGUCAGUAUGCCCCGAAACUCUGGGGCCACACGCGGGCUGCAAUGGUAACGACAAUGGGUUUCGAAUCCGAAAGGAUGAGGUAAUCCUCAAACGUUACCACAGUUAUGACUGAGGGCUGCAACUCGCCCUCACGAAUAUGGAAUCCCUAGUAACUGCGUGUCAUUAUCGCGCGGUGAAUACGUCCCUGCUCCUUGCACACACCGCCCGUCGUUUCAUUGAAGUGAGCUUUUAGCGAGGUGACGUCUAAUUGGCGUUAUCGAACUUGAGGUUCGUGACAAGGGAAAAGUCGUAACAAGGUAACCGUA